GUGGGAACGUACCCUUCGGUUCGGAAUAACGCUGGGAAACUAGCGCUAAUACCGGAUACGCCCUUUUGGGGAAAGGUUUACUGCCGAAGGAUCGGCCCGCGUCUGAUUAGCUAGUUGGUGGGGUAACGGCCUACCAAGGCGACGAUCAGUAGCUGGUCUGAGAGGAUGAUCAGCCACACUGGGACUGAGACACGGCCCAGACUCCUACGGGAGGCAGCAGUGGGGAAUAUUGGACAAUGGGCGCAAGCCUGAUCCAGCCAUGCCGCGUGAGUGAUGAAGGCCUUAGGGUUGUAAAGCUCUUUUGUCCGGGACGAUAAUGACGGUACCGGAAGAAUAAGCCCCGGCUAACUUCGUGCCAGCAGCCGCGGUAAUACGAAGGGGGCUAGCGUUGCUC
rnacentral:rRNA from 2 species